ACGGGAGGCAGCAGUGAGGAAUAUUGGUCAAUGGACGAGAGUCUGAACCAGCCAAGUAGCGUGCAGGAUGACGGCCCUAUGGGUUGUAAACUGCUUUUAUAUGGGGAUAAAAAGAGGGACGUGUCCCUUAUUGCAGGUACCAUAUGAAUAAGGACCGGCUAAUUCCGUGCCAGCAGCCGCGGUAAUACGGAAGGUCCAGGCGUUAUCCGGAUUUAUUGGGUUUAAAGGGAGCGUAGGCCGUAUUUUAAGCGUGUUGUGAAAUGUAGAUGCUCAACAUCUGAAUUGCAGCGCGAACUGGAGUACUUGAGUGCGCAGGAAGUUGGUGGAAUUCGUUGUGUAGCGGUGAAAUGCUUAGAUAUGACGAAGAACUCCGAUUGCGAAGGCAGCUGACUGUAGCGUAACUGACGCUGAAGCUCGAAAGUGCGGGUAUCGAACAGGAUUAGAUACCCUGGUA
rnacentral:rRNA from 1 species